GACGAACGCUGGCGGCGUGCCUAAUACAUGCAAGUCGAGCGGACUUUCAAGAAGCUUGCUUUUUGAAAGUUAGCGGCGGACGGGUGAGUAACACGUGGGCAACCUGCCUGUAAGACGGGGAUAACUCCGGGAAACCGGGGCUAAUACCGGAUAAUAUCUUUCUUCGCAUGAAGGAAGGUUGAAAGGCGGCGCAAGCUGCCGCUUGCAGAUGGGCCCGCGGCGCAUUAGCUAGUUGGUGAGGUAACGGCUCACCAAGGCGACGAUGCGUAGCCGACCUGAGAGGGUGAUCGGCCACACUGGGACUGAGACACGGCCCAGACUCCUACGGGAGGCAGCAGUAGGGAAUCUUCCGCAAUGGACGAAAGUCUGACGGAGCAACACCGCGUGAGCGAAGAAGGUCUUCGGAUCGUAAAGCUCUGUUGUCAGGGAAGAACAAGUACCGUUCGAAUCGGGCGGUACCUUGACGGUACCUGACCAGAAAGCCACGGCUAACUACGUGCCAGCAGCCGCGGUAA
rnacentral:rRNA from 1 species